UACUUCUACCAUUUUAGUAGC
rnacentral:piRNA from 1 species